CGAUAACUUGUUAGAUUGGUCAUUAUUUUCAACAGAAAUCCCUGUGAUUGGCUACAAUACAACACUGAGUUUCUUCAUGUUGUAAAGAGACACAUUAGCAGCUCCGUUGAUCUCACAUACAAAUUUAUUCAAAACAUAAUGGAACAAAAAUAUAAUGAAUAUGUAUUAUGGUGUAUAUAUUUAGCAAAAUGCUCCUCUCUAGAGUUAACUUUUUACCUGACUAACGAGUUUGUGGUCACUGAAUGGCUUUUCUGAGAGGAAGAGAUGAUCAGUUAACGCGCGCUUCGCCCUGCUGCUUCGCUUGAUCUGAUCUGAGGCGGGAACAGCGAUCUUCACGUCAUUUUAAAGAGCGCCACAACGGUCUCAACAGCACGGCUGUGGCGCCAUGGCUGCUGCUUGACAUGAACCCUGGGUGAAUCACCACAAAUUAAAGCACAUUCUAGUCACAUGCUCCAAAAAUGAGGAUUAUCAAAUGCAGACUCACAGCCUGUCUUCUGCUCUAAGGGCACCUGUGUCUUUUUGUAAGUAACUUUGCUCAGGGAGAGCCUAUUCAGGCACAUCUGGUCUGCUGAGGAGUUCUGAUAAAGACCAGCGUGAUUUCAAAGGGAGAUAAAACCCCUGAGAAUUGCAGUGCGCUCAAAGACCCGACAGUCCUCUUUACCCCCAGGGUGACUUCAGCCCCGGCACCCGCUGUCACGCCAUUAUGAGAGCAGAUUCUUUAUAAUUGCCCAUUCCAGAAAUGGCAGAUAAGAUGAUAUUGUCCAGCCCCACGGGACUGUUAAUCUAUGGCUGCCGAAAAAUGGGCUUGUGUAUAAAACCUGUGAAAUAAAUAGUGUGACAUCUGUCAGGAUGCAAGCGACUUUGAAUGCUUUCGGGUUUCUGAAGAGCAAAGGCUUUUGAAGAGUUGAGAUUCACACAGGCUGCCCACUAUAUGAAUAAAAUGAACAACAUUCAUACAAAUGUUCAAGGGUAAACACAUAAACAUGCACAUCUGAAGAGACAUGGCAGGGGCAAAAAGGAUCUCUGAUUAAUUAUGCGGCUUGUAUCAAGCAUGUAGCAGAAAUGAAACGCAUGAGAGAAGCCUGUCAGACUCAAUACAUCUCUGCUCUAGUGCCUGUUUUUACAUUUAUUCAUAGAGGAAAGACAUAAGGGUCAUUCUACACUAAUACAUGUGCCAUCCCUUUCCAACAUCUCCUUACUGUAUCAACAAAUGUGCACAUCAUUUUGAUACUAUAUAUAUUUUAUAUUCCAUACUAUAUUUUUAGAUUUUAGUUAGAAUAAUACAUUAUUUAUAGGACUAAAAUUCAACCCUGUUACAAUCAU